rnacentral:rRNA from 1 species
CAGCUUGCUGUUGGUGGAUGAGUGGCGAACGGGUGAGUAACACGUGAGUAACCUGCCCCUGAUUUCGGGAUAAGCCUGGGAAACUGGGUCUAAUACCGGAUACGACCAUCUGACGCAUGUUGGGUGGUGGAAAGUUUUUCGAUCGGGGAUGGGCUCGCGGCCUAUCAGCUUGUUGGUGGGGUAAUGGCCUACCAAGGCGACGACGGGUAGCCGGCCUGAGAGGGCGACCGGCCACACUGGGACUGAGACACGGCCCAGACUCCUACGGGAGGCAGCAGUGGGGAAUAUUGCACAAUGGGGGAAACCCUGAUGCAGCGACGCAGCGUGCGGGAUGACGGCCUUCGGGUUGUAAACCGCUUUCAGCAGGGAAGAAGCGAGAGUGACGGUACCUGCAGAAGAAGUACCGGCUAACUACGUGCCAGCAGCCGCGGUAAUACGUAGGGUACGAGCGUUGUCCGGAAUUAUUGGGCGUAAAGAGCUCGUAGGUGGUUGGUCACGUCUGCUGUGGA